UACGUAGGGGGCAAGCGUUGUCCGGAAUCAUUGGGCGUAAAGCGCGUGUAGGCGGUUCGGUAAGUCUGCUGUGAAAGUCCAGGGCUCAACCCUGGGAUGCCGGUGGAUACUGUCGGACUAGAGUACGGAAGAGGCGAGUGGAAUUCCCGGUGUAGCGGUGAAAUGCGCAGAUAUCGGGAGGAACACCUAUGGCGAAGGCAGCUCGCUGGGACGUUACUGACGCUGAGACGCGAAAGCGUGGGGAGCAAACAGG
rnacentral:rRNA from 1 species